UACGGGGGGGGCAAGCGUUGUUCGGAAUUACUGGGCGUAAAGGGCUCGUAGGCGGCCAACUAAGUCGGACGUGAAAUCCCUCGGCUUAACCGGGGAACUGCGUCCGAUACUGGAUGGCUCGAGUGUGGGAGAGGGAUGCGGAAUUCCAGGUGUAGCGGUGAAAUGCGUAGAUAUCUGGAGGAACACCGGUGGCGAAGGCGGCAUCCUGGACCGACACUGACGCUGAGGAGCGAAAGCCAGGGGAGCAAAGCGGG
rnacentral:rRNA from 1 species